rnacentral:lncRNA from 1 species
GAGCCAAUGGAGAAGUUCCUGAUGCCCACACCUGCUGGUCUCACCGCUAGGGCCUGGGCAUCACAGGCAGGGGGAAUGGGGAGGGGACGGUAGCGUCAGCCUACACCCACACGCAGAAGCUGACAAUGACUGUUGGGCUUUUCCAAUGAAUACCAGAACACCAUUUCCUGCAGCCUGAAAAGAAGACAGUAUAAUUGUUUGGCAGCAAGAGAAUCCAGGUGCCCUUCCAUGAGAAGCCCAAGCCAUGUGGAGAAGCCACGUCUAGGGACUCCAGUUAACACUCUCAGCUGAGUCCCCAGCUGACAGUCAGCAUCAACUGCCAGCCACCUCUGUCUAAAAGUGGGCUAUCUUGGGCAUCCAGCCCAGUCAAGCCUUCAGAUGAGUCCAGUCCCAGCCACUAUCUCACACAACCACACGAGAGACAUCAAGAACUCCCAGUGGAGUCCAGUCAGCCCAUGGAACUGCAAGAGACAGGAUCUCGCUGCGUUGCUCAGACUGGUCUCGAACUCCUGGGCUUAAGGGAUUCUCCUGCCUCAAUCACAGCCUCCCAAGUAGCUGAGAUUAAAAGUGCUCACCACCGUGCCAGCGAGUUCAGUUUUUGAGGGUGGAGCCAAGACUCUGAGGAGAGGGCUGAACUGUGAACCUAGAAGUACCAUCUCCCCCUGCACACACCUUUGGUCAAGUUGACCCCAAGAAGAAGGACAAGUCCUCUGCACGGCGAUGAGGCCAUACACACAGUCUGUGGCCCGGCUUUGGGAGACUGAUGGGACAAAGGAUGUUUUGCACGAUCCUUGGUCUCUGAGCAAAUAUAUACAUGGGUUAACACAAA